UUCCGGUCUGGUAGGCUCGGUAGCCUUGGGGAUCGCGCUCCCUCUGGGGAAGCCCCGCACUGGCCCACUGGACCACGUACACGUAGAGACAGACCUUCCCAUGGGAACACCCUUGUUGCUGAGGACAGACCCCGCCCCAGGAAGCAGACCCACAAGCUCAAGGUCUGAAGAGGCUGGAGAGGGGUCAUCAAGUGCGAUUCACUUCCCAGACGGUGAAGGUGAACAGGCUCCCAGCAUCCACUUCCUUCAGCGUGAACCCGGUCUCUGUGGUGCUAGAGUUCACAGUACCAGUCUU